AUUGAACGCUGGCGGUAUGCUUAACACAUGCAAGUCGAACGGUAACAGGCCUUCGGGCGCUGACGAGUGGCGGACGGGUGCGUAACGCGUAGGAAUCUGCCGAUUAGUGGGGGACAACGUGGGGAAACUCACGCUAAUACCGCAUACGCCCUACGGGGGAAAGCGGGGGAUCUUCGGACCUCGCGCUAAUCGCUGAGCCUGCGUGGGAUUAGCUAGUUGGUAGGGUAAAGGCCUACCAAGGAGACGAUCCCUAGCUGGUCUGAGAGGACGAUCAGCCAAACUGGGACUGAGACACGGCCCAGACUCCUACGGGAGGCAGCAGUGGGGAAUAUUGGACAAUGGGCGCAAGCCUGAUCCAGCAAUACCGCGUGUGUGAGGAAGGCCUGAGGGUUGUAAAGCACUUUUAAUCGGGAGGAAUAGCGGUCGGUUAAUACCCGGUCGUCUGACAUUACCGAUAGAAAAAGCACCGGCUAACUCCGUGCCAGCAGCCGCCGUAAUAC
rnacentral:rRNA from 1 species